rnacentral:rRNA from 1 species
CACGUGGGCAACCUGCCCUUUGCACUGGGAUAGCCUCGGGAAACCGAGGUUAAUACCGGAUUACUCCAUAUUUGUCGCAUGGCGAAUAUGGGAAAGCUCCGGCGGCAAAGGAUGGGCCCGCGGCCUGUUAGCUAGUUGUGGGGUAGUGGCUCCAAGGCAAUGAUGGUAGCCGGGUUGAGAGACCGACCGGCCAGAUUGGGACUGAGACACGGCCCAGACUCCUACGGGAGGCAGCAGUGGGGAAUCUUGCACAAUGGGCGAAAGCCUGAUGCAGCGACGCCGCGUGCGGGAUGAAGGCCUUCGGGUUGUAAACCGCUUUCAGCAGGGACGAGGCCGCAAGGUGACGGUACCUGCAGAAGAAGCCCCGGCUAACUACGUGCCAGCAGCCGCGGUAAAU